GAUGAAGAACGUAGCGAAAUGCGAUACUUGGUGUGAAUUGCAGAAUCCCGUGAACCAUCGAGUCUUUGAACGCAAGUUGCGCCCGAAGCCACUAGGCCGAGGGCACGCCUGCCUGGGCGUCACACGCCGUUGCCCCCCCAUCUACUCCUUCGGGAUUGCGGGGGGGCGGAUGAUGGCCUCCUGUGCGCCUAGCCGCGCGGUUGGCAUAAAUACCAAGUCCUCGGCGACGCACGCCACGACACUCGGUGGUUGCGAAACCUCGGUUGCCCGUCGUGUGCGUUCGUCGCGCAUCGAGGGCUCGAAAAAAUGCUCGGCUCCGGCUGGGCUUUCAACGCGACCCCAGGUCAGGCGGGGUUACCCGCUGAAUUUAAGCAUAUCAAUAAGCGGAGGA
rnacentral:misc_RNA from 1 species